CCGAGCUGCUGUUGUGCUCCAUGUCUGAAAGAUGUUUUCUUUUUUCGUUCUUUGCUCUAGUUACGAGGAUCCUGACAAGUGCCUGCUUCUCUAUGGUGAUGAUCAGAACUUGGAAGAAGCUGCCUGAAGUUGAGAACGUGCCAAACAUUAACCUUAAUAAUGCUGUGAACUCUCCAAACGUAAGCUAUAUCCUCUGGCAAGCGCACGGGGACUCGGUUACUCAGCUGAACUACUAUGAUUCUAUCAAAGCUGUCAUUUCAAGCUCCAACCACGAGCCCACUGCUCUAGUCAUCGGUACUGCUUGCCCUUCUCUUAAGUUUCCCGUGUUCCCUUUUUGUGUGUCAGACCCUUGACUUUCUCCCACCUUUAGAAUUUCUACAUUGCAGCAGGCAUCCCACACUUGGAUAAUAACUCCCAGUGAAGCUCAAAAUGGGACAUCCUCCCACUGCUGAGUUUUAUAAGCCUCACUCUCGGCUGCCGGGGAGGCAGAGGGAGGGUGGGCAGGCCUAUCCCAGCCUUCGCUCAUACCCAGAGCUCAAUCCAUAUUUGUAUUUGUUGG
rnacentral:lncRNA from 1 species